CCUAUGGGGCGCAGCAGGCGCGAAACCUCCGCAAUGUGAACAAUCGCGUCGGGGGGUCCCCAAGUGCCACUCUUAACUUUUAAAAUGGUCUUAAGUGUAAAAAGCUUUUGGAAUAAGGGCUGGGCAAG
rnacentral:rRNA from 1 species